UUAGAGUUUGAUCCUGGCUCAGGAUGAACGCUAGCGGCAGGCUUAACACAUGCAAGUCGAGGGGCAGCGAGGGUAAUAGCAAUAUUACCUGUCGGCGACCGGCGCACGGGUGCGUAACGCGUAUGCAACCUACCAUCAACAGGGGGAUAACACUGAGAAAUUGGUACUAAUACCCCAUAAUAUCUCAUGCGGCAUCGCAUGGGGUUGAAAACUCCGGUGGUUGAUGAUGGGCAUGCGUUGUAUUAGCUGGUUGGUGAGGUAACGGCUCACCAAGGCGACGAUACAUAGGGGGACUGAGAGGUUAACCCCCCACAUUGGUACUGAGACACGGACCAAACUCCUACGGGAGGCAGCAGUGAGGAAUAUUGGUCAAUGGACGCAAGUCUGAACCAGCCAUGCCGCGUGCAGGAUGACGGCUCUAUGAGUUGUAAACUGCUUUUGUACGAGGGUAAACCCCGAUACGUGUAUUGGGUUGAAAGUAUCGUACGAAUAAGGAUCGGCUAACUCCGUGCCAGCAGCCGCGGUAAUACGGAGGAUCCGAGCGUUAUCCGGAUUUAUUGGGUUUAAAGGGUGCGUAGGCGGUUUGAUAAGUUAGAGGUGAAAUGUCGGGGCUCAACCCCGAAACUGCCUCUAAUACUGUUGGACUAGAGAAUAGUUGCGGUAGGCGGAAUGUAUGGUGUAGCGGUGAAAUGCUUAGAGAUCAUACAGAACACCGAUUGCGAAGGCAGCUUACCAAACUAUAUCUGACGUUGAGGCACGAAAGCGUGGGUAGCAAACAGGAUUAGAUACCCUGGUAGUCCACGCAGUAAACGAUGAUAACUCGUUGUCGGCGAUACACAGUCGGUGACUAAGCGAAAGCGACAAGUUAUCCACCUGGGGAGUACGUUCGCAAGAAUGAAACUCAAAGGAAUUGACGGGGGCCCGCACAAGCGGAGGAACAUGUGGUUUAAUUCGAUGAUACGCGAGGAGCCUUACCCGGGCUUGAAAGUUAGCGACGACGCUUGAAAGAGCGUUUCCCUUCGGGGCGCGAAACUAGGUGCUGCAUGGUUGUCGUCAGCUCGUGCCGUGAGGUGUCGGGUUAAGCCCCAUAACGAGCGCAACCCCUACUGUUAGUUGCCAUCAGGUGAUGCUGGGCACUCUAGCGGGACUGCCGGUGUAAGCCGAGAGGAAGGUGGGGAUGACGUCAAAUCAGCACGGCCCUUACGUCCGGGGCCACACACGUGUUACAAUGGUAGGUACAGAGGGCAGCUACCCUGCGAAGGGGUGCGAAUCUCGAAAGCCUAUCUCAGUUCGGAUUGGAGGCUGAAACCCGCCUCCAUGAAGUUGGAUUCGCUAGUAAUCGCGCAUCAGCCAUGGCGCGGUGAAUACGUUCCCGGGCCUUGCACUCACCGCCCGUCA
rnacentral:rRNA from 1 species